rnacentral:SRP_RNA from 1 species
GCUGGGCGUGGUGGCUCACGCCUGUAAUCCCAGCACUUUGGGAGGCUGAGGCGGGUGGAUCACCUGAGGUCAGGAGUUCAAGACCAGCCUGACCAACAUGGAGAAACCCCGUCUCUA